rnacentral:rRNA from 1 species
GACGAACGCUGGCGGCGUGCUUAACACAUGCAAGUCGAGCGGUAAGGCCCUUUUGGGGGUACGACGAGCGGCGAACGGGUGAGUAACACGUGGGUGACCUGCCCUCAGCUCUGGGAUAAGCCUGGGAAACUGGGUCUAAUACUGGAUAUGACCUUUCCUCGCAUGGGGUUGGGGUGGAAAGUUUUUCGGCGUGGGGAGUGGGCCCGGCGGCCUAUCAGCUUGUUGGGUGGGGUGAUGGCCUACCAAGGCGACGACGGGUAGCCGGCCUGAGAGGGCGACCGGCCACACUGGGACUGAGACACGGCCCA